UAGUCUAGUGGUUAAGGCUAUGGAUCGCCAAUCCGGAGACAGCGGGUUCGAUUCCCGU
rnacentral:tRNA from 1 species